AGAACGGUUGUUACGAGGUUCAGCGUUUCAAGUCGCCUCGAGCCCGGCAGUCCUUUGAAGACUAGCUAGGUUAGUUAGUUUCAACAGGCAGGCAUAUCGGAGAUGUAAAAGCCAAUGGAAAUCCUGGGCCCAGGAAGCAGGAAUCCGGAACCAAGUGGAGUGGGAUCAUCGGUGGAAAUUUUGAUGUUUUUUUAGUAUUCCUUAGAGGAAUACU